rnacentral:rRNA from 1 species
GAUGAACGCUGGCGGCGUGCCUAACACAUGCAAGUCGAACGGAGAUUACGGACGGAAGUUUUCGGAUGGAAGACUGUAAUUCUUAGUGGCGGACGGGUGAGUAACGCGUGGGCAACCUGCCCUAUACAGGGGGAUAGCAGCUGGAAACGGCUGGUAAGACCGCAUAAGUCGGCGAGACCGCAUGGUUUUGCCGGGAAAUGAGCAAUCAGGUAUAGGAUGGGCCCGCGUCCGAUUAGCCAGUUGGCAGGGUAAAAGCCUACCAAAGCAACGAUCGGUAGCAGGACUGAGAGGUCGGACGGCCACAUUGGGACUGAGACACGGCCCAAACUCCUACGGGAGGCAGCAGUGGGGGAUAUUGCACAAUGGAGGAAACUCUGAUGCAGCGACGCCGCGUGAGUGAAGAAGUAUUUCGGUAUGUAAAGCUCUAUCAGCAGGGAAGAUGAUGACGGUACCUGACUAAGAAGCCCCGGCUAACUACGUG